GACAGAUCUCGUUACACAGCAUCUGAAAUGACGCUUCCCUUUCAUUUGCUCGCUGUGAUCUUGAUUUUCAUAGACAAUGGUGUGUCUGGUAUGGAUACAUAUGAUGUUUCAGUGAAAGAAAGAGAUUGAGUCAUUUUUCACACUGGUGUUGAAACAAACCAACAAGAAGUUAUUAAGUGGUAUUUUACUCACAUAGCUGAAAUCAGUGGAGAUCUCAGUUAUAGUUGUACAGAUGUUCAGUGUAAUGAAGGCACUGAGAGAUUCAGACACAGACUGAAGCUGGAUCACCAGACUGGAUCUCUGACCAUCACAAACAUCUUUAUGAGUUUACAGAGUUUAUGAACUGAGGAGCAUCAGGAGCAGCGACAGCACUGACAAGACCUUUAAUGUUACUGUCACUGAUGCAGAAGAUCCCGACUGCAGCAACAAUCAACAGAGAUCCAGCAGAGAUCAACACUACAUACAAUAAAGAUGCAGAAGAUCCCGAAUAGAGUUAUAAUUAUCACAGAUCCAGCAGAGAUCAACACUAUCAGAGAGACUGAAUCUGGAGGAACUGAAGGAGAGAAACAGAGAGACAGUCAUUAAUGUAAGUGAAUGUGUAAAUAAUCACAUAUAUCAGCUCUGCUGUACCUGCACAUGUGUGACAGAGGUGAGUGAUGUCCAGAUGUUGAGUCUGGUUGCUGAUGGGAUUGUUCAGCACACAGCUGUAGGUGUUUUUAUCCUGAUAUUCCACCUCCAGAGGUAGAGAGAG